rnacentral:rRNA from 1 species
GCAGUCGAGCGAAUGGAUUGAGAGCUUGCUCUCAAGAAGUUAGCGGCGGACGGGUGAGUAACACGUGGGUAACCUGCCCAUAAGACUGGGAUAACUCCGGGAAACCGGGGCUAAUACCGGAUAACAUUUUGAACUGCAUGGUUCGAAAUUGAAAGGCGGCUUCGGCUGUCACUUAUGGAUGGACCCGCGUCGCAUUAGCUAGUUGGUGAGGUAACGGCUCACCAAGGCAACGAUGCGUAGCCGACCUGAGAGGGUGAUCGGCCACACUGGGACUGAGACACGGCCCAGACUCCUACGGGAGGCAGCAGUAGGGAAUCUUCCGCAAUGGACGAAAGUCUGACGGAGCAACGCCGCGUGAGUGAUGAAGGCUUUCGGGUCGUAAAACUCUGUUGUUAGGGAAGAACAAGUGCUAGUUGAAUAAGCUGGCACCUUGACGGUACCUAACCAGAAAGCCACGGCUAACUACGUGCCAGCAGCCGCGGUAAUACGUAGGUGGCAAGCGUUAUCCGGAAUUAUUGGGCGUAAAGCGCGCGCAGGUGGUUUCUUAAGUCUGAUGUGAAAGCCCACGGCUCAACCGUGGAGGGUCAUUGGAAACUGGGAGACUUGAGUGCAGAAGAGGAAAGUGGAAUUCCAUGUGUAGCGGUGAAAUGCGUAGAGAUAUGGAGGAACACCAGUGGCGAAAGCGACUUUCUGGUCUGUAACUGACACUGAGGCGCGAAAGCGUGGGGAGCAAACAGGAUUAGAUACCCUG